GCAGACGUAUCGAAGUGGUCAUAACGGGGCUGACUCGAAAUCAGUUUGCGGGCAACCGCACGUGAGUUCGAAUCUCACCGUCUGCG
rnacentral:tRNA from 2 species